AUGGCAAUGCCUGAUGGCAUCAGUAUCCCCGAUUGCAAGUUAUACAUAGGAGAUGUUGACUAUGCAUGUCGGCCUGGUGUUCUUCCACCCUUCAUGAAAAUCAGGUACCAUCUGAAAGAGUUCUCUUCUAGGAACUAUCCUAGGACUGCGCAAGAAUUGUUCAAUCUCAGACACUCCAGCCUUAGAGUCAUGGUUGGGAGGGCAUUUGGAGCUCUGAAGAAUUGAUUUAAGAUCCUAGAUCAGAAGCCAUUCCACCCUUACCCCACUAAAGUUAGGCUUGUUCUAGCAUGUUGCAUUCCGCAUAAGUGGAUCCUUCAAUGGGGUUAUGAUGAGUUGGUGCCGGAGGAGGAAGAUUUGACGGCCAAUGAUGAUGACUCCGGUCAUGGUGUGGAGGCACAUGACAAUGAAGCUUGGAAGAGCAAAAGGUUGGAAUGUAUUGAUGCAAUGUGA
rnacentral:rRNA from 1 species